UACGGGGGGGGCAAGCGUUGUUCGGAAUUACUGGGCGUAAAGGGCUCGUAGGCGGCCAACUAAGUCAGACGUGAAAUCCCUCGGCUUAACCGGGGAACUGCAUCUGAUACUGGAUGGCUUGAGAUUGGGAGAGGGAUGCGGAAUUCCAGGUGUAGCGGUGAAAUGCGUAGAUAUCUGGAGGAAUACCGGUGGCGAAGGCGGCAUCCUGGACCGACAUUGACGCUGAUGAGCGAAAGCUAGGGGAGCAAACGGG
rnacentral:rRNA from 1 species